GUUCAGUUUCAGAUUGGGAAGAAGCACAAUCCUUAACAUUCUCAUCCCUCCCUUCUUUUGUUACAUCCUGUGAACAGAAACAGAAAGAACCACAUAUUGCAGAUUACUAAGAGGAAAUUAAGCCCCCUCCCAUAAGCCUACACGUUCUCUCCCUCUCCCACUUGUCUUCUCUUUUGUAAUUUCUCUCUUCUUGUUCUCACCGUCCUCCAUGGCUGAUCCACUGAAGGUCCUAUAUCCUUACCACCACUUCAAAUAACCUCCUCAAUAGCUUGAAUCCAACAAGUAUGAUCUUCCAUGAGUUUUGGCUGCCCCAAACAAUGCUUUUAAGGUUUCAAGAUUCUUGGUGAUGGACCUAGUAAUUGGAUUGCUUGCUUAGGUGGUGGUGCCUGGUUGAGGUAAAAUUGGUUGGCCUCCUGAGAUGAGUUCCGGCUGUGUGUCGGCGAUGAGUUCCGUCUUUGUGACGGUAGAUUAGUUCCGAUUGUGGGUCGGCGAUGAGUUCCAGCUGUGUGUCGGCGAUGAGUUCCGUCUUUGUGAUGGCAUUGUCACGUGGCCUUGGGGUUAGAUUUUCAGGUUUUAAAAGGAUGUUUUGAUAGCUCACAGUAAAUAUGUUGAAAUAUUUUGAGAAAGCUUGGUGCUACAUUCUUUUAAUCAUUCUUGUAAUUUUAUUAAGAAAAAUGGUUUUGCAUGAUCCAAAUGGAAAUUCCCAAAGUAUAACAUGUUUUGUAAAA